AAAUUGAAGAGUUUGAUCAUGGCUCAGAUUGAACGCUGGCGGCAGGCCUAACACAUGCAAGUCGAACGGUAACAGGAAACAGCUUGCUGUUUCGCUGACGAGUGGCGGACGGGUGAGUAAUGUCUGGGAAACUGCCUGAUGGAGGGGGAUAACUACUGGAAACGGUAGCUAAUACCGCAUAAUGUCGCAAGACUAAAGAGGGGGACCUUCGGGCCUCUUGCCAUCGGAUGUGCCCAGAUGGGAUUA
rnacentral:rRNA from 1 species